GCUCAGGACGAACGCUGGCGGCACGCCUAACACAUGCAAGUCGAACGGACUUAAAAGAGCUUGCUUUUUUAAGUUAGUGGCGGACGGGUGAGUAACACGUGAGCAACCUGCCUCUGAGAGGGGGAUAGCUUCUGGAAACGGAUGGUAAUACCCCAUAAAAUAUAAAUAUCGCAUGAUAGAUAUAUCAAAGAAAUUCGCUCAGAGAUGGGCUCGCGUCUGAUUAGAUAGUUGGUGAGGUAACGGCUCACCAAGUCGACGAUCAGUAGCCGGACUGAGAGGUUGAACGGCCACAUUGGGACUGAGACACGGCCCAGACUCCUACGGGAGGCAGCAGUA
rnacentral:rRNA from 1 species